rnacentral:lncRNA from 13 species
AUAAGAGAGAUUGAAGUACAAAAGAUAGAUGCUGAGAAGGUAUCCAUGGCUUCCUGAGACUUGACAAGUUUGAAAAAUUAAAAAAAAAAAAAAACACAACAGAAUGUUUGCUCUGUUUACCUAAAUGGUGUGAGGAGGGGGUGGUUGAUAGUGAGAGUGAGGCCAAGGGACAGAGGACAGGAAGAUGCCCUCUCAGUGAUUCCUGCUGUGCAGAGGAGCCAACCCUCCUGAGAGCCAGGCAAUCAGUGAGGGAGGGCAGAGCUUGUGAUGACCCAACGGACCAACAAGCCCUCUCCCUGAAGCUUGGCCUCACAAAGAGCCAUGUCAACUCCAAAUGAGUUCCCAGAAUGUUGCCCCUAAGAGGCAGAAGAGAGUCCUCCAAGAUUUCAGCAGCAAAAAUGGCCACAGCGAAUGUACCAUCCCAUACCAUAUGUUCGUCCUCACACUGCCAGUCUGCCACCUGGAGUCACUAGGAGGUCCCCCCAAAAAAGGUACAUAUUCUGGACGCACUCUUUUUCUAAGAAAAAAAUCUUCAUUGUUGAGAAAGGUUGAACUUACUGUUCCGCUUUUGCUGGAGAGCCACUUUGGAUUGAGCUUUCUGCCAGACAUGAGGUUUGGACAGGUUGGUGUAAACAACGUGAAGAAUCUAGUAAAGAACUGUGACCAUCUCAAUCUAGUCCCUGAAGUAGUGGCGUCAUUUAGAUGGAAGAGGAUGGUGUGCAUCACGGCUGGGAAGUGGAGGAGAGAGUUCGUGUAAAGUGAUCAAAAGUGUCUUUGGGAGCCUGUGCGCAUUUCCCCAGAAAGCACGUUUCCAUGUGCAAAGCCCAACACAAGGAUUACUGUUCUAAACACAAAAUGCAUCACCACUGCACACUUCACGUCAAUCAGCCCUUCCAUCCUCCAUGGCAGCUUACCUAAAGGUAAGUUUCAUGUCCUCACUCCUCAGGUGGAGAUGCUGUGGAGAUAAAUUUUUCAAGCUCUUGGGCUCCUACACUGAAGAGGCAAAUGUGAACUCAAGAAUGGGUGAAACAUUGAUGCGAUGGCUACUGUUGUGCACUUGGCAGACAGCACUGGCAUAACUCAUCACCGUGCCAGGGAGUUCAAGCACCUAUGUGUGCAUGUGCGCGUGUGAUGGCCUGUAGAGAUUUUACACACUGUCAUCACAGGACGGUCUUAGUGGUCACCUACCCCAGGGUGGGAACAGCUACAUUUUACAGUGGAAUCCGGCGUGGUCAUUAAUGUGAAGCACACUUGCAGGGCUCAGAGGGUUUUGGUGCCACGAUAGGUUAAUUCUCAGCUCCUGGCCAAAAGCAGAGAAUAAUCAGGGACAUAUUCUGUUUUAUUUAAGAACAUAAUAACCAUAAGGCUUAGAAAUGCUCUGGUUCAGUAGCACACACACCUCAGGCACAGCCUCAGACAGGAGCUCCAGGAACAACUUGGGCUUUAGCCUGGUGCCCAUCUCCCCUGCUGGAACCUCCUGCACAGCUGGGUUGGAGAGGGUCAGCGCCACCACCUGCUGCCCGCAGGACAGGCUGUCCCAGUGUCAGAGCCAGUGAGAGCCUGAGCAGUAAUGGACUCCCUGGACACAUGUUGUGUUGAAAAGGGAGACUGGAAGGAC